rnacentral:lncRNA from 1 species
UGUAUCUUAGCAUUUCAUUUAUUGCUGAGAGAAAAUAUUAAAAACUCAAUUGGGACUUUAUUUUUUAGUUCUUUUUUUGUUUUGUUUGUUUGUUUGUUUGUUUCACAAGAAACCAGCUUCAUUUCAUACCAGGUGUUAACUUGGACUAAUCGUGUGUGUGAGUUUGUGUGUGAGUGUGUGUGUGUGUGUGUGUGUGUGUGUCUGUCUGUCAGUCUGUCUGUCUGUUCCCUGGAACAUUUGGCAAUUUGGGAAAAAUAGUUUUGGUUGUUACAACUGGAGACAUGCUACUAACCACCUGUAUAUUAAGGGUGGCGUUGCUCAGUACCCAUCAAUAAACAGGGCAGAUGUGACAGUGACACAGCUGAGAAAAAGCCUGCUUAGCGCCAGUUCUUAGGUCAUUUGGUUAUUAUCUACGCAGCAUGCUUUCUCACAUGCAAGUUUCAUGCUAAUGUGUUGCCUGUGUAACAAUGCCUAUUGGGAUGUAAACUCGAGGGGAAAUGUGUUUGUCUGAUAAUACAGCCAGUGUGCAAGGCUAUGAGCACAGCCCCAUCAGAAAGUCACAGACAUCCCCAGGGAUGGUUUAUUCAGACUGGUCCACAUUCCCCCUCCAUUCUUACAUCUGAAGAAAUGCAGAAGAGAUCUUGCUUUUUUGAGAAGGACUUGGGGGAUGGGGGGGAGCAUAUUUUGGAAGUGCCAGAUAGCAGCAUUACAUAACACUCUGUGUAUUCGAAUAACACAUCUUGAGUUUGAGAAAGCGGACAUCAAUGAAUUGGGAAAGGCUAAAUAAAAUUUUAAAGCAUGUUUGCAUGU